rnacentral:rRNA from 1 species
UACGGGGGGGGCAAGCGUUGUUCGGAAUUACUGGGCGUAAAGGGUUCGUAGGUGGCUUGCUAAGUCAGACGUGAAAUCCCUCAGCUUAACUGGGGAACUGCGUCUGAGACUGGUGAGCUUGAGUGCAGGAGAGGAACGCGGAAUUCCAGGUGUAGCGGUGAAAUGCGUAGAUAUCUGGAGGAACACCGGUGGCGAAGGCGGCGUUCUGGACUGCAACUGACACUGAGAAACGAAAGCCAGGGUAGCAAACGGG